rnacentral:rRNA from 1 species
AGCGAAGAGGUAGCAAUACCUUUGUCGGCGACCGGCGCACGGGUGAGUAACACGUAUGCAAUCCACCUGUAACAGGGGGAUAACCCGGAGAAAUCCGGACUAAUACCCCAUAAUAUGGGCGCUCCGCAUGGAGAGCCCAUUAAAGAGAGCAAUUUUGGUUACAGACGAGCAUGCGCUCCAUUAGCCAGUUGGCGGGGUAACGGCCCACCAAAGCGACGAUGGAUAGGGGUUCUGAGAGGAAGGUCCCCCACAUUGGAACUGAGACACGGUCCAAACUCCUACGGGAGGCAGCAGUGAGGAAUAUUGGUCAAUGGUCGGCAGACUGAACCAGCCAAGUCGCGUGAGGGAAGACGGCCCUACGGGUUGUAAACCUCUUUUGUCGGAGAGUAAAGUACGCUACGUGUAGUGUAUUGCAAGUAUCCGAAGAAAAAGCAUCGGCUAACUCCGUGCCAGCAGCCGCGGUAAUACGGAGGAUGCAAGCGUUAUCCGGAUUUAUUGGGUUUAAAGGGUGCGUAGGCGGCACGCCAAGUCAGCGGUGAAAUUUCCGGGCUCAACCCGGAGUGUGCCGUUGAAACUGGCGAGCUAGAGUACACAAGAGGCAGGCGGAAUGCGUGGUGUAGCGGUGAAAUGCAUAGAUAUCACGCAGAACCCCGAUUGCGAAGGCAGCCUGCUAGGGUGAAACAGACGCUGAGGCACGAAAGCGUGGGUAUCGAACAGGGUUAGAUACCCUGGUAGUCCACGCAGUAAACGAUGAAUACUAACUGUUUGCGAUACAAUGUAAGCGGUACAGCGAAAGCGUUAAGUAUUCCACCUGGGGAGUACGCCGGCAACGGUGCAACUCAAAGGA